GACGAACGCUGGCGGCGUGCUUAACACAUGCAAGUCGAGCGGUAAGGCCCUUUCGGGGGUACACGAGCGGCGAACGGGUGAGUAAUACGUGGGUGACCUGCCCUCAGCUCUGGGAUAAGCCUGGGAAACCGGGUCUAAUACCGGAUAUGACUCCAUGACGCAUGUUGUGGGGUGGAAAGCCUUGUGCGGCUGAGGAUGGGCCCGCGGCCUAUCAGCUUGUUGGUGGGGUGAUGGCCUACCAAGGCGACGACGGGUAGCCGGCCUGAGAGGGCGACCGGCUACACUGGGACUGAGACACGGCCCAGACUCCUACGGGAGGCAGCAGUGGGGAAUCUUGCGCAAUGGGCGAAAGCCUGACGCAGCGACGCCGCGUGAGGGAUGACGGCCU
rnacentral:rRNA from 1 species